rnacentral:rRNA from 1 species
GGGUGAUAGCCCCGUAUGUGAAAUCGGACCGGUGGUACUAAGCGUACGACAAGUAGGGCGGGACACGUGACAUCCUGUCUGAAUAUGGGGGGACCAUCCUCCAAGGCUAAAUACUCGUAAUCGACCGAUAGUGAACCAGUACCGUGAGGGAAAGGCGAAAAGAACCCCGGAAGGGGAGUGAAAUAGAUCCUGAAACCGUGUGCAUACAAACAGUAGGAGCGGACUUGUUCCGUGACUGCGUACCUUUUGUAUAAUGGGUCAGCGACUUACAUUCAGUGGCAAGGUUAACCGAAUAGGGAAGCCGUAGAGAAAUCGAGUCCGAAUAGGGCGAUCAGUCGCUGGGUGUAGACCCGAAACCAAGUGAUCUACUCAUGGCCAGGAUGAAGGUGCGGUAACACGCCCUGGAGGUCCGAACCCACUAAUGUUGAAAAAUUAGGGGAUGAGCUGUGGGUAGGGGUGAAAGGCUAAACAAACUUGGAAAUAGCUGGUUCUCUCCGAAAACUAUUUAGGUAGUGCCUCAAGUAUCACCAUCGGGGGUAGAGCACUGUUAUGGCUAGGGGGUCAUUGCGACUUACCAAACCAUUGCAAACUCCGAAUACCGAUGAGUGCGAGCUUGGGAGACAGACGUCGGGUGCUAACGUCCGGCGUCAAGAGGGAAACAACCCAGACCGCCAGCUAAGGUCCCAAAGAUUGGCUAAGUGGAAAACGAAGUGGGAAGGCUAAAACAGUCAGGAUGUUGGCUUAGAAGCAGCCAUCAUUUAAAGAAAGCGUAAUAGCUCACUGAUCGAGUCGUCCUGCGCGGAAGAUGUAACGGGGCUAAGCCAGUCACCGAAGCUGCGGAUAUCCUUUAUUGGAUAUGGUAGGAGAGCGUUCUGUAAGCCUGCGAAGGUGUCUUGUAAAGGAUGCUGGAGGUAUCAGAAGUGCGAAUGCUGACAUGAGUAGCGAUAAUGGGGGUGAAAAGCCUCCACGCCGUAAGCCCAAGGUUUCCUGUUCAACGUUCAUCGGAGCAGGGUGAGUCGGCCCCUAAGGCGAGGCAGAGAUGCGUAGCUGAUGGGAAGCAGGUUAAUAUUCCUGCACCGUCGUAUGAUGCGAUGGGGGGACGGAUCGCGGAAGGUUGUCCAACUGUUGGAAUAGUUGGUUUUUGGCUCAUAGAAGGUACUUAGGCAAAUCCGGGUACGGAAUUCAAGGGGUUGAGACGAGUGCACUUGUGCAUGAAGCAAUCGGAAGUGGUUCCAAGAAAAGCCUCUAAGCUUCAGUCAUACGAGACCGUACCGCAAACCGACACAGGUGGGCGAGAUGAGUAUUCUAAGGCGCUUGAGAGAACUCGGGAGAAGGANNNNNNNNNNNNNNNNNNNNNNNNNNNNNNNNNNNNNNNNNNNNNNNNNNNNNNNNNNNNNNNNNNNNNNNNNNNNNNNNNNNNNNNNNNNNNNNNNNNNGAAGCAAUCGGAAGUGGUUCCAAGAAAAGCCUCUAAGCUUCAGUCAUACGAGACCGUACCGCAAACCGACACAGGUGGGCGAGAUGAGUAUUCUAAGGCGCUUGAGAGAACUCGGGAGAAGGAACUCGGCAAAUUGGUACCGUAACUUCGGGAAAAGGUACGCCCCGGUAGCUUGAUUGGUUUACUCCAUGAGGGUGAAAGGGUUGCAAUAAACUGGUGGCUGCGACUGUUUAAUAAAAACACAGCACUCUGCAAACACGAAAGUGGACGUAUAGGGUGUGACGCCUGCCCGGUGCUGGAAGAUUAAAUGAUGGGGUGCAAGCUCUUGAUUGAAGUCCCAGUAAACGGCGGCCGUAACUAUAACGGUCCUAAGGUAGCGAAAUUCCUUGUCGGGUAAGUUCCGACCUGCACGAAUGGCGUAACGAUGGCCACACUGUCUCCUCCCGAGACUCAGCGAAGUUGAAAUGUUUGUGAUGAUGCAAUCUACCCGCGGCUAGACGGAAAGACCCCAUGAACCUUUACUGUAGCUUUGCAUUGGACUUUGAACCAAUCUGUGUAGGAUAGGUGGGAGGCUUUGAAGCGGGGACGCUAGUUCUCGUGGAGCCAACCUUGAAAUACCACCCUGGUUUGUUUGAGGUUCUAACCUUGGUCCGUUAUCCGGAUCGGGGACAGUGCAUGGUAGGCAGUUUGACUGGGGCGGUCUCCUCCUAAAGUGUAACGGAGGAGUUCGAAGGUACGCUAGAUACGGUCGGACAUCGUGUUGAUAGUGCAAUGGCAUAAGCGUGCUUAACUGCGAGACUGACAAGUCGAGCAGGUACGAAAGUAGGACAUAGUGAUCCGGUGGUUCUGUAUGGAAGGGCCAUCGCUCAACGGAUAAAAGGUACUCUGGGGAUAACAGGCUGAUUCCUCCCAAGAGUUCAUAUCGACGGGGGAGUUUGGCACCUCGAUGUCGGCUCAUCACAUCCUGGGGCUGUAGCCGGUCCCAAGGGUAUGGCUGUUCGCCAUUUAAAGUGGUACGUGAGCUGGGUUUAAAACGUCGUGAGACAGUUUGGUCCCUAUCUGCCGUGGGCGUUGGAAAUUUGAAGGGGGCUGCUCCUAGUACGAGAGGACCGGAGUGGACGAACCUCUGGUGUACCGGUUGUCACGCCAGUGGCAUUGCCGGGUAGCUAAGUUCGGAAGAGAUAACCGCUGAAAGCAUCUAAGCGGGAAACUUGCCUUGAGAUGAGAUUUCCCAGAGCCUUGAGCUCUUUGAAGGGUCGUUCGAGACCAGGACGUUGAUAGGCUGGGUGUGGAAGUGCAGUAAUGCAUUAAGCUAACCAGUACUAAUUGCCCGUACGGCUUGUCCCU